rnacentral:rRNA from 1 species
UACGGAAGGGGCUAGCGUUGUUCGGAAUUACUGGGCGUAAAGCGCGCGUAGGCGGCCGGACGAGUGAGGCGUGAAAGUCCUGGGCUCAACCCGGGGACGGCGCUUCAGACUGUCCGGCUGGAGUCCGGAAGAGGGUGGCGGAAUUCCGAGUGUAGAGGUGAAAUUCGUAGAUAUUCGGAGGAACACCGGUGGCGAAGGCGGCCACCUGGUCCGGUACUGACGCUCAAGUGCGAAAGCGUGGGGAGCAAACAGG